rnacentral:lncRNA from 1 species
GUCCCUCAGUAAUAUUGGCGUCAGUAAUAAUUCGUAGGUUCUUUAUUGAUAUUACUGACGGAUUUAUCUGUCAUAAUGUAACUCACUGAAUUAUUGAGGGAUUUUUCCGUCAAUAACGUUAUUGAGGAUUUUUUGGAUGUUACUGAAGGUUUAUUCCGCCAGUAAUUAUUAAAUUCCUCAUUAAUGCAAUUUUGAAUUGGUUAUUAAAUUGGGGAACUAUUUGCAGUGGGAAGUUAUUCAUGCAAAAGAACAAAUACCGCUCAAUGAGUCCCAAUUUACCGCUCAAUAGGUUUUGAUGGCCAUUCAUUAUUCUCAAAAUAUGUCAAUUUGUUGCUAUUCAGUAUAUAUUAUCCAGUUAAGAUCCUUUUGUUCUUCUUAUAUUUAUCCUAUCCCAUGAUCACUAUAUAUAGUUGCUGGUAUAUUAUUAAUUAUGAAUUUCAGUAUUUUUGUGCCCUUCUC